rnacentral:rRNA from 1 species
CACGGGGGGAGCAAGCGUUGUUCGGAAUCACUGGGCGUAAAGGGCGUGUAGGCGGUCAAGUAAGUGGAAUGUGAAAGCCCCCGGCUUACCCGGGGAUCUGCAUCCCAAACUGCUUGGCUUGAGUACGGGAGAGGAUAGGGGAAUUCCUGGUGUAGCGGUGAAAUGCGUAGAUAUCUGGAGGAAUACCGGUGGCGAAGGCGGCAUCCUGGACCGACAUUGACGCUGAGGAGCGAAAGCUAGGGGAGCAAACGGG